UGAGCAACCUGCCCUUGACCCUGGAAUAACAGCUGGAAACAGCUGCUAAUACCGGAUACGACCUCCGAUGGCAUCAUCUGGAGGUGGAAAGCUCCGACGGUCAAGGAUGGGCUCGCGGCCUAUCAGCUUGUUGGUGAGGUAACGGCUCACCAAGGCUUCGACGGGUAGCUGGCCUGAGAGGGCGACCGGCCACACUGGGACUGAGAUACAGCCCAGAUCCGUACGGG
rnacentral:rRNA from 1 species